CGUUUUGUAAUCAUGUACUACAGAGAACUCAUAUACACCCACUUACAAAAAAUCCAAUUUAAUUUUUCGCUGCUCAAGUCACAAAACUAUUGACAAUGAAGACAAACCCGGAUCAAAUAAAACCACAAGGUCCACCCAAAUAAUACGCCUCUAAGAGAAGGAAUUGAACAACAUUGUAAAUGAACCAACACCACCAAAAACGAAACAGGACGUAGAAGAUUAAUUGCCCUUCAUACCUAAAAUAUUGGAAAUGUAAAGCGACAGCUAACUGAGCUCGCCAACCGUUGAAAUCCGACGAACAUAGCGUAAGGCUCGGGUGGUUGUUUGAAGAUAUUCCAAGACGCACGCGCAAAGGUCCACCUGCUCCUUGUCGGUUAUGUGGGUGGUGCUCUUGUCCUGGAAUCUCAGCCUUAUUUCAUUGUGACGAUUAUCGAUUCUAGUUAUUCUAGUGUCUUUGGUCUAUGGCUUUACCCUACAUACUGCCAACCAUCCGGAUGACAGACAACAUCCUUGCUAGAUCAAAUAUCUCUCAUCGCCACUUUAUCUCAAAAUCAUAUCCAGGAAGUAACUAUUCAGCUGACUGCAAGCAGAGGAAACUUUAAUGUUGCCUUAAUAUACUGCCCUCCGACACUUAGAUGAACAGUUGCCAUUGCUGGGCAGUUCAUCACACACAAUUGGAGAAGCCACAUGCUACCCCCACCGUGCAACUGCCUCUCCAAGUGCCAUAGAUUUUGGGAUCUCCAAUGGCUUUAGACAGCAACUAAUCAGGGUGAAAGUGCUGACAGAACUGUUAUCUGACCAUCAUCUGCCAUUGAUUGAAG